GCCUUCAUGGUGUAAUGGUCAGCACACUCAAGAGUGCAUUCGAGAGGUCGGAGGUUCGAGUCCCAGUGAGAGCA
rfam:Stegodyphus mimosarum contig104796, whole genome shotgun sequence.